GACAACUUUCGGUGGUUGCAACCCCCAUAUGAAAUCAAGAAAAUGGUCCAAAACUUUUGUGGCCACUCUCCUCUCUAGUUUCACAUAUCCCUCACAAAAAUAUUUUACCAUAAAUGUCCUCAUAUAUUGAGUUUACUACCAAAAACAUUAGGGAACAAAGGAGAUGAAGUCGAAGAAAUGAUUGCAGAGACGGGGAUGCUGAUGGUAGGCGUUCUUGGAUUAUGGGCUCGACUUGUUCGGAAGCCACUGCUUGAAUUCACCGGAGAAGUUAUACAAGUUGCCUCUGAAGUCAUGUCUAGGAUUGGUGUCCCAGAUACAGCUUCCUAUAUUCCUCUUUCUUCUAGUACAAACAUUGCAUCUCCUCUCAUCUCCCGAAGAAGGUGAUAUGAAAAUGUAUAGAUGAUAAGAUGUUAUAUUGACGAGAUUCGGCGAUACAGAUAUAGGUUUUGCUUUCCAUAUUUGUAGGUUCUCAAUUAUAUAUAAGUAUACAUAUUUAAAUACGUUAAAUCACUGAUCUGGAACAGUUAUACAUACAAGAGUUUGAAGAAUGCUAAGGAAUCAUACUUUAUGUUGGUAGCAUUCUUUCAAACUCUACAGACUCUUGUAGACUACAUGGUUUGAGUGCGUGACUGGUAUUAGUGAUGUCUCAUGUUCCUCUAUCUACAUCAGCUGAAAACUCAACCGCCGUAGACUACUAGAGAAAGUGCGAGACAUCUCCAAAAUGAUUAGUGAGCAAAUUUUAUACAAAUCGUUGACCAUAUGUGACAAGAACGUGAUAUCAACCGAGAAUGAGUUAUCGGGGUUUAUUAGAAGCGGACGGCCCCGUCUCCACUAGACUACUUUAGAUCCAGCGAAUUGUUGGAAUUCAUACCGGUUUAUAACAAUUUAUAAAUCAACCUAUGAAUUUAGUUUGCCUAGAUCUCAUGCAAAUACUGAAAUGAAUCUAGAUCUUAGGGUUCCGAAUAUACCUGGUUAUUCGCAGUGGAAAGAUGAAUAAACCAAGUCGAGAUUUCAAGCACUCCAAACGUCGUGCCUCUAUCGGUAUCCACACGCACACAAACUAGAUCGAUACGGGAUGCUAGUGCCGCAAGAACUUGACAACAACGAACUGUUCGUCUCUAAUUCUCUUCGUU
rnacentral:lncRNA from 1 species